rnacentral:rRNA from 1 species
GAUGAACGCUGGCGGCGUGCCUAAUACAUGCAAGUCGAGCGAACGGACGAGAAGCUUGCUUCUCUGAUGUUAGCGGCGGACGGGUGAGUAACACGUGGAUAACCUACCCAUAAGACUGGGAUAACUUCGGGAAACCGGGGCUAAUACCGGAUAAUAUUUUGAACCGCAUGGUUCAAAAGUGAAAGACGGUCUUGCUGUCACUUAUGGAUGGAUCCGCGCUGCAUUAGCUAGUUGGUAAGGUAACGGCUUACCAAGGCAACGAUGCAUAGCCGACCUGAGAGGGUGGUCGGCCACACUGGAACUGAGACACGGUCCAGACUCCUACGGGAGGCAGCAGUAGGGAAUCUUCCGCAAUGGGCGAAAGCCCGACGGAGCAACGCCGCGUGAGUGAUGAAGGUCUUCGGAUCGUAAAACUCUGUUAUUAGGGAAGAACAUAUGGGUAAGUAACUGUGCACAUCUUGACGGUACCUAAUCAGAAAGCCACGGCUAACUACGUGCCAGCAGCCGCGGUAAUACGUAGGUGGCAAGCGUUAUCCGGAAUUAUUGGGCGUAAAGCGCGCGUAGGCGGUUUUUUAAGUCUGAUGUGAAAGCCCACGGCUCAACCGUGGAGGGUCAUUGGAAACUGGAAAACUUGAGUGCAGAAGAGGAAAGUGGAAUUCCAUGUGUAGCGGUGAAAUGCGCAGAGAUAUGGAGGAACACCAGUGGCGAAGGCGACUUUCUGGUCUGUAACUGACGCUGAUGUGCGAAAGCGUGGGGAUCAAACAGGAUUAGAUACCCUGGUAGUCCACGCCGUAAACGAUGAGUGCUGAGUGUUAGGGGGUUUCCGCCCCUUAGUGCUGCAGCUAACGCAUUAAGCACUCCGCCUGGGGAGUACGACCGCAAGGUUGAAACUCAAAGGAAUUGACGGGGACCCGCACAAGCGGUGGAGCAUGUGGUUUAAUUCGAAGCAACGCGAAGAACCUUACCAAAUCUUGACAUCCUUUGACAACUCUAGAGAUAGAGCCUUCCCCUUCGGGGGACAAAGUGACAGGUGGUGCAUGGUUGUCGUCAGCUCGUGUCGUGAGAUGUUGGGUUAAGUCCCGCAACGAGCGCAACCCUUAAGCUUAGUUGCCAUCAUUAAGUUGGGCACUCUAAGUUGACUGCCGGUGACAAACCGGAGGAAGGUGGGGAUGACGUCAAAUCAUCAUGCCCCUUAUGAUUUGGGCUACACACGUGCUACAAUGGACAAUACAAAGGGCAGCGAAACCGCGAGGUCAAGCAAAUCCCAUAAAGUUGUUCUCAGUUCGGAUUGUAGUCUGCAACUCGACUACAUGAAGCUGGAAUCGCUAGUAAUCGUAGAUCAGCAUGCUACGGUGAAUACGUUCCCGGGUCU